rnacentral:rRNA from 1 species
GAUGAACGCUGGCGGCGUGCCUAAUACAUGCAAGUCGAGCGAACGGACGAGAAGCUUGCUUCUCUGAUGUUAGCGGCGGACGGGUGAGUAACACGUGGAUAACCUACCUAUAAGACUGGGAUAACUUCGGGAAACCGGAGCUAAUACCGGAUGAUAUUUUGAACCGCAUGGUUCAAAAGUGAAAGACGGUCUUGCUGUCACUUAUAGAUGGAUCCGCGCUGCAUUAGCUAGUUGGUAAGGUAACGGCUUACCAAGGCAACGAUGCAUAGCCGACCGGAGAGGGUGGUCGGCCACACUGGAACUGAGACACGGUCCAGACUCCUACGGGAGGCAGCAGUAGGGAAUCUUCCGCAAUGGGCGAAAGCCUGACGGAGCAACGCCGCGUGAGUGAUGAAGGUCUUCGGAUCGUAAAACUCUGUUAUUAGGGAAGAACAUAUGUGUAAGUAACUGUGCACAUCUUGACGGUACCUAAUCAGAAAGCCACGGCUAACUACGUG